AUAAAAGUUUUGAUGAAGAGCCAAUUUGUAAACGAAUUGAACCAGAGAGAUGACGAAUGGGUGCGAGUGUCAUAAUUCAAAACAGAUUGGUAUGGCUUCUGAACUGAGUUAUCGAUAUUGUAGGUAACUCCGUACCAGGCGUUAACGAUUCGAGUGUAUAAUAGAACUAUUAUAAACUAAGGUGGAACCGCGGUCUUUUGCCGUCCUUAGA
rnacentral:ncRNA from 1 species